rnacentral:tRNA from 1 species
ACUUAAAAAUAUAUUUAUUACCUUAACACCUUCAAUGUUAUGCUCUUUAAUUUAAGCUAUUUAAGUA